rnacentral:piRNA from 1 species
UCCUCAGAGCGACUGACUGACGUGUGGCCC